rnacentral:rRNA from 1 species
AGCGGCGGACGGGUGAGUAACACGUGGGUAACCUGCCCAAGAGACUGGGAUAACACCUGGAAACAGAUGCUAAUACCGGAUAACAACACUAGACGCAUGUCUAGAGUUUGAAAGACGGUUCUGCUAUCACUCUUGGAUGGACCUGCGGUGCAUUAGCUAGUUGGUAAGGUAACGGCUUACCAAGGCAAUGAUGCAUAGCCGAGUUGAGAGACUGAUCGGCCACAUUGGGACUGAGACACGGCCCAAACUCCUACGGGAGGCAGCAGUAGGGAAUCUUCCACAAUGGACGAAAGUCUGAUGGAGCAACGCCGCGUGAGUGAAGAAGGGUUUCGGCUCGUAAAGCUCUGUUGGUAGUGAAGAAAGAUAGAGGUAGUAACUGGCCUUUAUUUGACGGUAAUUACUUAGAAAGUCACGGCUAACUACGUGCCAGCAGCCGCGGUAAUACGUAGGUGGCAAGCGUUGUCCGGAUUUAUUGGGCGUAAAGCGAGUGCAGGCGGUUCAAUAAGUCUGAUGUGAAGGCCUUCGGCUCAACCGGAGAAUUGCAUCAGAAACUGUUGAACUUGAGUGCAGAAGAGGAGAGUGGAACUCCAUGUGUAGCGGUGGAAUGCGUAGAUAUAUGGAAGAACACCAGUGGCGAACGCGGCUCUCUGGUCUGCAACUGACGCUGAGGCUCGAAAGCAUGGUAGCGAACAGGAUUAGAUACCCUGGUAGUCCAUGCCGUAACGAUGAGUGCUAAGUGU